GUGUGUGUGUGUGUGUGUGUGUGUGUGUGUGUGUGUGUGUGUGUGUGUGUGUGUGUGUGUGUGUGACUCACACUGAGAGGAAGACAAGUGAAGAGAGAAAUGGAAGAGAUGUGAAGACAACAAAUCUCUUUUGGAAGAGAAAAAAACAGAUAAAAGAGGCGAGGGCAGAUAUAGUGAGACAUCAGUCCAUUUGGAAUUGCAGACAAGACUGAUAAUGAGACACACACACACACACACACACACACACACACACACACACACACACACACUCACACUGUCUGGUCUGGCAGUCAUCUGACCCAAAUGAAGUGUUCUGAGAGCAAUAACAAUGAAGCGGCGCAUGAUGUGACUGGAGUGAUGCUGACUGAACAAAUGCAUCACGCUGCAGGAAAAACAGCGUCUAGACUGCAGGAGAGAGAGAUGAAUUUAAUAUUGAUUCAAUCACUGAUUCUGGUGUCAAAGAUUAUGAGCUGAAAAUGUGUCUGAGAACAUUUGUCUGGAGGAGAGGAGAGAAAUUCGAGAAAGACGUUCAACUCUUUUGAUAUUUUCACAAAAGAGCACUAGAAAAAAAGCUGCUGUCGGCCGUCAUCCUCCUGCUCUGUGACCUCUGAGUGCUGUGAGGUCGAUCCUCGUCCUUUACCUGAUCACGUCACUCAGCUUUGAUCCUGAUGGCUCAAACCCACACACCAACGUCAUGCGCACACACACACACACACACACACACACAAGAUGAACAUCCAACAGAUCAACAACUGAGUGCUGACAGAAAGAAAGCAACGCCACCUACUGGGGAAAAUCAGUUACUGUGUUCAGCACAAUAUCUCUUCACCCUGAAAUAUUCAAUUAUACAAUCAUUACUCAGUUUACAGUAUUGAUUAAACAAUUUAUAAUUUAAACAUUUGGAACGUCCCUACAAUAUUUGUAUUUGUAUAUAUUGUUGCUCACUUGGACUAAUUCAUGCAUGAAUUAUGAUAACCAGUCAGGAUUUUUCCCCCAUGUGUUUUAUUGCUCUUAGGGCAUGAAAAACAAGAUUUGAACUUUUUUUAAAACAUAUUUUACAAAGAUAUUUUCAGAUUGUUUUUCAGAUCUGUUUUUAACUGAAGAGAUACUGUAUUAAACAUAAUACAGUAACAGCACAGUGAUGCUGUGUGUAUUUACCAAAUGAAUAAAAUAAUAUAAACCAGAGUACAUCAAUUUACCCUUAUUAGCUGAUAAUUCUGAUUAAAUAUGAUUAAAAUGGAUCAAUUUAGCUCUCCUCUCUGAGAAAACCUCAGACUGAAAUCUACAUUGAUCUAUUGAUGUUUUCAAACUGUGGAAAAACUAGUGUUCAGGUGUUUUCAAUCUCAUCUGAAAUGAGCAGUGCUGGGGGUAACACAUUACAAGUAAUGUGCAUUACGUAAUCAGACUACUUUUUGAUGUAACGAGUAAAUUAAUGCAUUACAAGUAACGUGCGUUAUGUAAUCAGAUGACUUUUUUGAUGUAACGAGUAAGGUAACAAAUUACAAGUAAUGUGCAUUAUGUAUUCAGAUUACUUUUUUUGAUGUAACAAGUAAAAUAACGCAUUACAAAUAACAUGCAUUACAUAAUCAGAUUACUUUUUUGAUGUAACGAGUAAAGUAACACAUUGCAAGUAAUGUACAUGAUGUAAUCAGAUUUUUUUUUUGAUGUAACAAGGUAACAAAUUACAAGUAACGUGCAUUACAUAGUCAGAUUACUUUUUUGAUGUAACGAGUAAAGUAACACAUUGCAAGUAAUGUGCAUUAUGUAUUCAGAUUACUUUUUUUGAUAUAACGAGUAAAGUAACGCAUUACAAAUAACAUGCAUUACAUAAUCAGAUUACUUUUUUAAUGUCAAGGGUAAAGUAAUGCAUUACAGGUAACAUGCAUUACGUAGUCAGAUUACUUUUUUGAUGUAACAAGUAAGGUAACAAAUGACAAGUAAUCUGCAUUGUGUAAUCAGAUUACGUUUUUUUGAUGCCACAAGUAAAGUAAGGCAUUACAAGUAACAUGCAUUACAUAAUCAGAUUACAUUUUGAUGUAACAAGUAAGGUAACAAAUUACAAGUAACGUGCAUUGCGUAAUCUGAUUACUUCUUUGAUGUCACGAGUAAAGUAACAAAUUACAAGUAAUGUGCGUUACAUAAUCAGAUGACUUUUUUGAUGUAAUGAGUAAGGUAACACAUUACAAGUAGUGUGCAUUAUGUAAUCAGAUUAUUUUUUUGACGUAACUGCCAAUUACAAUCUAAUAACACAAAUACAUUUAUUUACAACCAAAAAAAGUUACUGCAGAUGAAGUAUUUUCAAGAACAACUGUCACAAUAAUAGUAUGAAUUGUAUAGCUGAUUUUCUCCCAAUCUAAAACCAAUACUUGGGAAAAUUUAACAAUGAUAUGACUCCUUAGAUGUUACUUGAUGUUAAAUUAUUGUUUUGUCCCUGCAAGAGCCUCCUAGGAUAGAAGGAAUGGAUGGAUAUUCCAGAGCAACUUGGCAUUUCUGACUGGCAGUUGUCCAUCUUGGUUUGGCAAAAAAAUUCCACAUACAAAGGCUUGCCACUUGGUGGCAGUGUAGAGGAUGAUCCACUAGAGUCCACUGUAGUGGUUAAAAACCCAUGCAUGUGUAAGAAAAUUACUUUUUAAUAGCUGUCCACUGCAGCGACCUCUAUGCAUGAAAGAGUUAAUAUACUGAAUUUGUAUUGUAAUAUACACAAUAUAUGUUUGAGAUCAAAAUUUUGUUGAAAAACACUUGGCAAGACAUAAUAAAAACACAGAUAUAUAGACAUAGAUUAGGAAAGCAUUCAAACAGAAAAGCAUUAAAAUUCAUCAUCA